rnacentral:rRNA from 1 species
UACGUAGGGUGCAAGCGUUAAUCGGAAUUACUGGGCGUAAAGCGUGCGCAGGCGGUGAUGUAAGACAGAUGUGAAAUCCCCGGGCUCAACCUGGGAACUGCAUUGUGACUGCAUCGCUGGAGUGCGGCAGAGGGGAUGGAAUUCCGCGUGUAGCAGUGAAAUGCGUAGAUAUGCGGAGGAACACCGAUGGCGAAGGCAAUCCCCUGGGCCUGCACUGACGCUCAUGCACGAAGCGUGGGAGCAACAG